GUAGGUGGCAAGCGUUGUCCGGAAUUAUUGGGCGUAAAGCGCGCGCAGGCGGUUCUUUAAGUCUGAUGUGAAAGCCCACGGCUCGACCGUGGAGGGUCAUUGGAAACUGGAGAACUUGAGUACAGAAGAGGAAAGCGGAAUUCCACGUGUAGCGGUGAAAUGCGUAGAGAUGUGGAGGAACACCAGUGGCGAAGGCGACUUUCUGGUCUGUAACUGACGCUGAGGCGCGAAAGCGUGGGGAGCAAACAGGGAUUAGAUACCCUGGUAGUCCACGCCGUAAACGAUGAGUGCUAAGUGUUAGGGGGGUUUCCGCCCCCCUUAGUGCUGCAGCUAACGCAUUAAGCACUCCGCCUGGGGAGUACGGCCGCAAGGCUG
rnacentral:rRNA from 1 species